rnacentral:rRNA from 1 species
CAUGGAGGGUGAGAAUCCCGUUCGGUUGAUCAGAUCUUCUUUACGAUACGUCAUCAAAGAGUCAAGUUGUUUGGGAAUGCAGCUUAAAAUGGGAGGUAAAUUUCUCCUAAGGCUAAAUAACGGCGAGAGACCGAUAGCGAACAAGUACCGUGAGGGAAAGAUGAAAAGAACUUUGAAAAGAGAGUUAAAUAGUACGUGAAAUUGUUGAAAGGGAAACGAUUGAAGCCAGUCGUACCUGCGGGUAAUCAGCCUUUUGGGUGUGAUUAUGUGGAGCGUGAGGAGCUAAUCGCCUUCAUCUUUGCAUAUUCGUGCACUUUGGGUGUACUUGCUCGUGUGGUAGGUUAACAUCAAUUUCGGAUGUCAUAAAAUGGCUGGAGGAAUGUAGCUUCGGUCUCGUACUGAAGUGUUAUAGCCUCUGGUAGAUGUGAUGACCGGGAUUGAGGAUUGCAACGAAUACCUUUUGGGCUAUCCGUCUGAUCUCUGAAAGUUGCUCUGGUGCCGAAAGCUUGCUUAUGGUAUCAAAGUUGACGUUCAAUAGGUUAGAACGGGAUAAAUUCGUUAAGGAUGUUGACGUAAUG